UACGUAGGGAGCAAGCGUUGUCCGGAAUCAUUGGGCGUAAAGCGCGCGUAGGUGGCCCGGUAAGUCCGCUCUGAAAGUCACAGGCUCAACCUCGAGACGUCGGCGGAAACCAUCUGGCUAGAGUCCGGAAGAGGAGAGUGGAAUUCCUGGUGUAGCGGUGAAAUGCGCAGAUAUCAGGAAGAACACCCGUGGCGAAGGCGGCUCUCUGGGACGGUACUGACGCUGAGACGCGAAAGCGUGGGGAGCGAACAGG
rnacentral:rRNA from 1 species